GGAAUGGGCUCAGUGGGAAGAGCAUCUGCUUUGCAUGCAGAAGGCCCCAGGUUCAAUCUCCAGGUAGGGUUG